rnacentral:rRNA from 1 species
CCCUUAGAUGUUCUGAGCCGCACGCGCGCUACACUGAUGCAUUCAACGAGUGUACCUUGGCCGAGAGGCCUGGGCAAUCUUUUGAACGUGCAUCGUGAUAGGGAUAGAUUAUUGUAAUUAUUAAUCUUGAACGAGGAAUUCCUAGUAAACGCAGAUCAUCAAUCUGCAUUGAUUACGUCCCUGCCCUUUGUACACACCGCCCGUCGCACCUACCGAUUGGAUGGUCCGGUGAAGCCUCGGGAUUGUGGCGGUUGCCUUUAUUGGUGGCCGCCGCGAGAACUUGUCUAAACCUUAUCAUCUAGAGGAAGGUGAAGUCGUAACA